UAAAGCAGUGAGGUAAAAUAUCACACAAAAGGGUUUGAUGAAAAACAUUGUGACAUUUAUAGAAAAAAAAACGUUUCAAAUUUCGAUUAGACGAUUUUCAAAAGUGUUUAGUCGAGUCUUGGUCGACCAAAGAAAA